rnacentral:rRNA from 1 species
UGGAAGGAAAGGCAACUCUCGAUUAGGGGAAAGGAAGCACUAUUGAAAGCGCUUGCUCAAGCUAUACCAUUAUAUGCAAUGUCGGUCUUUAAAAUUUGUAAGACAUGCAGAUGAAUAACAAAUGUGAUUUAUCACUAUUGGUGGGGAGAUGGUGAAACUCAACGGAGAAUGCACUGGUUUGUUUGGUGGAAGAUGUGUGUGCCUAAGAGGCAUGGAGGUAUGGGGUUUCAGGAUAUUCACUUUAAUUUAGCUUUGCUGGCUAAAUAAGCUUGGAGGUUAAUUGACAACCUUGAAUCAUUGCGUAUGUGUAUUUUGAGGGUUAUGUACUACCCUAAUCGUGAUAUGUUGAAUGCGGUGUUAAAAAAUAGGUCGCCAUAUAUGUCACAAAGUAAUACACAAGGGGUGAAUACAUUAAAACAUGGUCACAUCUAG